AAAAAAUUAUAAAGCCUAAAGUUAACUCCAAAUCCAGCAUUCUUAAAGCUGUUCCGUAGCUUCCUAACCCUGCUCCAUUUUGCUUCCAAAUCAAUUGCGAAGAUUUAGCGGCAAAGAUAGUAUAUAACCUUUAAAGAAAAAUGCCACCGUCUGUUUCUUCAAAGAAAAAUGCUUUGUAGAUUCUGGGAUGAGAGGGCCAUUACCUGAGAAUUAAUUAGAUUAUGUGCUGUGAUUCAGAUUGUCUGAUGGUAGUAGACAAAAAGACCCUCGGCUUAAAUGCCAUUGAAUCUUUAUAAAAAUUAGGAAAGGCAAGUAAACAGUUGCUCCUACCAGAGAUGGAAGCCUUCUUCUUGCUGACAAGGGUAUUGGUCUAUCACCCAGGCUUGAGUGCAGUGGUGCUAUCAGAGUUCAUGGCAGCCUUGAACCCCUGGGCUCAAACAAUCCUCCCACCUCAGCUUUCUCAGUAGGAAAGUGUUACGGGGCAGUCACUGAGGAUGGAGAUUGAAAGAAAGGGUCUCUCCCAGCCUGGAGUGCAGUGGCAUGAUCAUGGCUCACUACAGCCUUGAACUCCUGGGCACAAGGGUGAUCUUCCUGCCUCAGCCUUCUGAGUACCUGGGAUUGCAGAUGGAGUCUUGCUCUGUCUUCCAGGCUGGAGUGGAGUGGUGCAAUCUUGGCUCACUACAACCUCCAUCUCCCGGGUUCAAGCAAUUCUCUUGCCUCAGCCUCCCAAGUAGCUGGGAUUAUAGCAUGGCAGAAUGAGAAAACCACUGACAAGUGAAGAGUUUGUACAAUGGAAGACCACCUCGACCAUCUCAUAACUUUAUACAGGAAUCAGGGACAGGGUUUUGCCAUGUUGGCCAGGCUGGCCUUGAACUCCUGAGCUCAUGUGAUCUACCUACCUUAGCUUCCCAAAGUGCUGGGAUUACAGGUAUGAGCCACCGUGCCUGGCCUCUGAUUUUUCUAUAGUGAGAACAUAACUAUUUCUGUAAUAAUGUUGGAAAUACAUAUCAAUAUCACAAUUUUCAACAGCAGAUUCAAGUAAAAUGAAUCCCUGUGUGUGUUUGUGUGUGUGUGUAUAUAUAUCUAUAUAUGUAUAUCUAUAUACGUAUGUAUAUAUUAUAAUGCAGAAGGAUAACAUCUAUAAUAGCUGAUAUAAUUACUAUCUUGACUGUUUUUUUGUGGAUGGAGAAAAAUCAAAAGAGCCAUUAGUAUUUUUAAUGGAGAAACUCUUAAUCCAAUCAAUAAGGAAAGCAUCUGUUAUGGAAAGAAUGAGAUGUUUGAAACACUGCUCGGCAUAUGCUUUACACUUCUGAGGAAGAACUUUGAACAAAGGAGUAAACAACUGGAAUGCUGAGAAAAAUGAGGAGACAGCAGUGGCACAUGACACCUGUGUUUUUUUUCUCCAUGGUUCUUUUGGUAUCUCUCCUUCCUUUCCCUGUCAGCUGAAGAUCUUUAUUAAAUUCUUUUGAUAGGGAGAACGCUGGAGUAGGAAUGAGAACUGGGCUGUAGAUGUACAUCCCCAAUUAACCACCUGUUUGGGGCUAAUAUUCUAUCUUGUUAGGAGAUGAACUUUACAAUUUCAAUUACCAAAUCUGAAAUGUUCUGUUUAGAAAAUUUCUAGCUUUUUUUUUUUCUGGUUUGACAUUCUAUGAUAACUCCAAGACAAAUGUUCUUCUUCUGAAUAAUUAAAACUUAAAACAGUUUCCUGUGUAAACUUCCAAAGACAACAACAAAGAUAACCUCUUUCUGCAUUUGAGUCAUAAACAUUAAACUAAUAAAUUAGGUGUUUUUGGGAGAAUCCAUUUGCCUACAAUAACCCCCGACACACCAAACACCAAGCCAGCAGAUACAUGGAAAUGGGAACCUGCAAUUUACCUACCUCCUUUUAUUCUUAGAAAAAUUUUUAUGAAUAUAGUCAAGCCACAUUAUGACAAUGAGAAAAAGUUGGAAAAUUACUUUUUUUAUUUAAGCUAAAAUUCAGAAUUAGGAAAAGAAUAUGCUAAUACAUGGUAUAUACCGUAUUGCUUCUUGAGGUUAACACUGGCAUUUAAUUCUUAGCAUCCCCAAAUCAAUUUGUUGGAGAUUAGCACAUAGUAGGCACUCAACAGAUAUUUGUAUGUGUUCCUUGUUCAAUACGAACAUGUUCAUCGAUAAAAGAAACCAUACUACUAAUAAUUUUAUUUCAUGAUUUAGAAGCCCAAAAUAGGCGCCUAUUAUUAAUCUCUUCAAUUUACUUUAGGUUCUAAUUCGUAACAGUCCAAGUUUAGCAAGUCUAGUAGUUUUCAUAUAAAUACCUCAUACAGUUGCAAGCAGAUGGCAUCUAUGAACCCAACUUGCAUACUUGGGAUUUUGUUUUUCUUUUCCCUGUUCAUUAGAUCCUGAAAAUACAAAUAUAGACACAGACACACAGAUUGCAUUUAUUUAUUUUGUUAGAUAUUUUAUUGUUAUUUUUUGAGAUGGGUGUCUCACUCUGUUGUCCAGGCUAGAGUGCAGUGGUGACAUCUCGACUCAUUGCAACCUCUGUCUCCUGGGUUUAAACUAUUCUUCUGUCUUAGCCGCCAGAGGAGCUGGGAUUACAAGUGUGCGGCACCAUGCCUGGCUAAUUUGAGUAUUUUUAGCAGAGAUGGUUUUCACCAUGUUGGCCAGGCUGGUCUAACUCCUAAUCUUAAGUGAUCCGCUUGCCUUGGCCUCCAAGUGCUGGUAUCACAGGUGUGAGCCACUGUAUGCAUUUACUUAUUGAAAGAACACAAUGAAAGCUUGCUCCAGAAAGGUGAAACAGUGGGUUAGCCUGGAAAGGUCAGAUAGCAACUAUAUGAAAAAGAAGAAAAGAAAAGAGGAAAACUCUAUGUUUAAUUUAGAGGAAAAAUUCCAAAGAACAGAAGUGGGUUGAGAAGAGUCUUUACUUGUAUUUGUGAUCCACACUCUAUGAUAAAAGGCAGUAUGUUUGAAAGAUCUUUAAAUUCUGUUUGCCCCAACACAACAACUUUGGGAAUUUACGCUAACAAGAUAAUGAAGAAUAGAGGAGCAAUUCCCUUGGUGUAAUGUUUUCAGUGUUUGCUAUUACAAGCAGCACUGUGAUAAACAUCUAUGAUAGAUGAAAUACUGCUCUGGAAACACUUCUGAGGAGAACUUUGAACAAAGAGUAGACAAGUAGAAUGCUAAGAAAAAUGGGGAGACAGUUGUGUGGGUGUGACAUCUGGUCUUUUUUCCUCUGUGUUUCUUUUUGUAUCUCUCCUACCUUUCCCUGUCAGCCACAGUUUCUUUAUUAAAUUCUUUUCAUGGUGAGAACCAAGGAGUAGGAGUGAAACUUCUAUGAUGGACGUUUAUCACAGUGCUGUUUGUAAUAGUGAACAUUGCAAACAUUACACCAAGGGAAGUGGGUAAAUUAUGGCUACAUAUAUUUCAGUAAUCAUGAUAAAAAAUGAAAAGUGGUUUGUAAUACUUAAGUGGAAAAACAAAUUACAAAAAACAGCGAUACAAUAUGCUGACCCCAAAAGUAUUUUUGUGCUCGUUUCUUGGAUUUGCUUUCUGUAAUGAACAUUUAUAAUUCUUCCAAUAUGAAAAAAGUUUUAAAAAAUAAAGUGAGAAACUGUGGUCCUAAGGAAAGAUCCCAUGGAACCAUAAAAAGGAGUCUACAAUUUUAAAAUGCAGUUUAAUUCCUACCAACAAAGUUUCAUACUUACAGUGGGUUCUAUGUUGAGUUCUUUUCUCUCUCUGUCUCCUUGAUCAAAAAAUUCAGUUGCUACAAGUUCUGCUAUCUGAAAUAAUUAACAGACUCAGUUUUGACAAUGAAAAGCAUUUCAUUCUUUAAAACAGAGACUGUGAAUGAAGGCCCUGUUAGGAGGUAUACAUCUCCCUUUUAUAGCAAAUAAGCAGCAGCUUGAUACCUGAAGACAAGUACUCCAUGUCUAAAGCAUGCUCUCUUAACUAUUCCAUUAUACUCUUUUUUCACCUCUGUAAAUUUCUCUUUCUUUUAGUAGCUUCCAACAUUUUUCCUUUUAUUUUAUUUAAAAAUAUUUUCUUCCUUCAUUUAUUUUCACACCCUAAAACAAUAUGUACAAGGGUUUAAUUCAGGAGAAAGAAAGGGUAUAUGAAGACACAUUCUUUCCCCUUCUCUCCCCUGGUUAGAAAUACGCAUAUAGUCUUAUUUAUUAUGGGGCAGGAAGGUAUGUAAAGAUCACGUAAGUGCAUAUGGCAUGUUGGCUUUGGCACGUGGAGAAUGAGUUUUUGAUCUUGUUUGCUCUGUAUGUCUGUUUCAUGAGAUGAGCCUGUAGAAGAUUUCUUAGGCUCCCUGACUAUGCAGCCCAGAGCCUUGACCAACACCAGGCUGUCAACAAUGCUAAAUAGUACAUUAAAGACUCAAAAUGAAAUCUUGAGAAACAAAAACACAAGAUAUAUGUCACUGCAUGGACAUCCAUCACUUUUCUGAGUCUAUAUUGCCUCUGCAAAACAUUACAGCAGUUACUUACUUAGAGGGAAGGAUUUUUUUCUAGCCUCCUGGUAACAGGCUCUGUUCAGAUCCUUCUUGACAUCUCCUGUCAAUACUUCCUACAUCUACAAGCCCAGAAAUCGUUAAGUUCUACUUGUUAAUGCCUAUUUAGAGCUGAGGUAUAGCCUAGAAUGCUAAUCAUAAGAAAAGUAAUUUUGCUUCUUCUCAUUUCUAAGGUCAUUAAAGGGAUGUCCUUAAGAAACAAGUAAGUGAGAAGUAUAAGUUAAUACCCCAAAUCCAAACAUCGGAAAUCUAAAAUGCUGGUCCAAUAAGUAUUUCCUCUGAGUGUCAUGUCAGCACUCAAAAAGCUUUGAAUUUUGGAACAUUCUGGAUUUUUGAAUUUGGUAUAUUCAGCCUAGCACACUGAAAUGAAAACUUAUCAACAGCAAUGUUUUUGCUCCAUUAAUGUUGAUGCUAUCUUUCUUCAUAUAUCUUAAAAAUAUCAUGUGCAAAUGUAUCUUCUAAAAAAGAAAGCCUUUUCAUGUUCAAUUAUCUGUUUUUAAUACUAUUUAAAAAUUUAAAAAAAUUUCCAUUCUUCAGAAGCUAGCUUUAAGAGUAACACCUUUAAAAAAUUACUUUAGAUUUAGAGGGUAUUUGUGCAUAUCUAGUGUAGGGGCAUAUUGUGUAUUGGUGGGGACUGGGCUUCUAGUAUACCCAUUACUCAAAUAAUGAACAUUAUACUCAAUGAGUAGUGUUUCACUCCUUGCUCUCUUCCCACCUUCUCCCCUUUUGGAGUCCCCAGUGCCUAUUAUUUCCAUCUUUAUGUCCAAGUGUACCCAACCGUUUGGCUCCUGCUUAUAAGUAAGAAUGUGCAGUGUUUGAUUUUCUGUUUCUGAGUUAGUUCAUUAAGGAUAAUGGCCUCCACCUUCAAUCAUGCUGCUUCAAAGGACAUGAUUUGAUGCCUGCCUAAAAAGAAUUUCGUGGUGCAUAUGUAUGACAUUUUCUUUAUCUAGUCAACUGUUCUUGAUGGACACUUAGGUUAGUUCCAUGACUUUGCUAUUAUAUAAUAAAUGAUGCUAUGACUAAUGCAUAAGUAUCUUUUUUACAUAGUGAUGUAUUUUUUGUAAAAUAAAUAGAUAGAUUUAUUUUUUAGAUAGAUACCUAGUAGUGGGAUUGCAGGGUAGAAUGUUAUUUUGACUUUUUAAUUAUUAUUUUUAUUGUCACUAAGCAACAUACCCGUUGUUGAAUAGGCCACGGUUUUGUAAUUGCAGAAAGAUCACAAGCUGUCAUCAGCAUUGCCCUGUUACAGAAAAAAAAGAAACCCACAACUCCUAUUUACUUUUGUGUUAUUAUAUGACCUCAGUAAAUAGUUAUGAAUAAAAAAGUUAAAAUCCUCUAAACAAUGGAAAUCGGAGUUUAUAAAGACCAAAGAAAAACAAACAAUUUAUAUAGAAGUCUACCUGAUAUAGUGAUAACAGAGCAUCACUGUUUUUGAUUUCCCUUUGAACUUUUGGAAUUUGUCCUCAAACUGCCUCAUUUAGUUCCAGAACAUGAAAAAUUAUUAACCUUUGGGUAAAAACUUGCCUGAUUUUAUUAUUUUUGUCACUUUGGUAUUCCAUUCUCAGUGACAAUAUGAUGAAAGUGCUUUGAUGACUACUAAUUAACCAUUAAAAUAUAACAUCAGUUAUCACACUGAUAAAGGUCUUAGAUCAGAAAUUAUAGUAGGUUAUCCUAAUUCACUCAACAUGUGGUAAUUUCUACAUGAAAAGCCUUUGAAUGAUUAAUCAUGUUUUUCAGUCUUUUCCUUUAUUAUUUCCACAUGUUGAAUUAUAGUUAAGAAAGUUUUCUCACUCCUAGGUUAUAGAAGAAUCCACUUAUAUUUUUAUUUAGUGCUUUUAUGAUUUAAUUCUCUGCAUUGAACUCUAUGUUUCAGUUGGAAUUUAAGUUUUUAGAGUAGAUCCAAUUUUGUCUUUUUCUUUUUUUUUCUUUUUUUUUUUGUGUGAUACAGGACUUUUGUUUUAUUGAACAAGAAAACUGGGUUUGAGAUGUUUAGUGACGUUCCAUAGUCUUACUCUAUGUUCCCUCAGCUUCAGCUGCAUUGUGCCAACGGCCUCCUAAUCAGUAUUUCUAUCACAGACCUUGCUCCUGAGGCCUCAUGGAAUUCCCACAGGUGCUUCACAUUUAGCAUGUGCCAAAUAACCCUCAUUCAUCUAUAUGCACAUGCACAUUUUCUCACAUUUUAACAUCUCUGAAAUCAGGACAUAUCUUAAAAUCUGUGGCAUCGCAGUAUGUCUUCAUCCUCAGUGGCAUAUAUUUUAUUUUAUUUUAUUAUUAUUUUUUUUAAUUUUGUCUUUUUCAUUUGGUUAUCCACUCAUCUCUCUCUUUCUUCCAGUCAGGAUAUGUUAUCUUUAUUAUAUACUAUAUGUGUUAUGCAAUUCUAAAUUUUCUAUUGUGUUCCACUGAUCUGGCACCAAUAUCAAACUGUUUUAGUCAUAGAGACUUUAUAGUAUUGCUUCCAUGUCUAGAGACCAGACCUCACUGCUGCAUCUUUCCAGAUUUUCUUUAAGAGAAGUAAACAUUUUACAGCUACAUCUUGCUUCUGCAAUCUUUAUAUUUUCAGCACUUCCAUUGCAAUGAAUUAGGAAAGUGAAUAAGGGAAUCCUAUAACCAUAUAUUGAUACUCCACCACAUUUUAAAGGUUUUUCUAGAAUAAAGGAACAAUUCAUUCACUCGGAUUUGUAAAUGCAAUUCUUUUCAAGUAAAUUUCACAUUUACUCUUUGUACAAUCCACUGGAAAAGUCUGACAGCCUUUAAGAUCAUCAUGUUGUAACAAAUCAUUGCAAUAAAAACUAAUAGAAAAAAUAGAAAAUUAACUGGGUAAAAGAACUUCAGCUUUAAAGAUAGUAAACAUACUUACAAAAACAAAUCCUUUUGAUGUGGAUCUUCCAAAUUGAAUUGAUUUUUUCUUAUAAGUUCAAAAAAUUCUCCUCGCCUCCUGCAACAUUAAAAAAAAGGUAGUUAUAAUAACUACCUAGGCUCUCAUCCCUUUGGUCUACAAAGACUCAUGGAGUAAAUUUUUGGUUAAAAAAUGUGUAAUUUUGGCCGGGCACGGUGGCUCAAGCCUGUAAUCCCAGCACUUUGGGAGGCCGAGGCGGGUGGAUCACGAGGUCAAGAGAUCGAGACCAUCCUGGUCAACACGGUGAAAUCCCGUCUCUACUAAAAAUACAAAAAAUUAGCUGGGCGUGGUGGCGCGUGCCUGUAAUCCCAGCUACUCAGGAGGCUGAGGCAGGAGAACUGCCUGAACCCAGGAGGCAGAGGUUGCGGUGAGCCAAGAUCGCGUCAUUGCACUCCAGCCUGGGUAACAAGAGCGAAACUCCGUCUCAAAAAAAAAAAAAAAGAAAAUGUCGAAUUUUUCCCCCCAUCUUUGAACCCACUGUAAAAUCAACAUUUUCAAAUCUUUAAUAUCUCACUUUCCACCUUUUAUCAUUUGCUUUGGGUAAAACAUUAAACCUCAUCUAAUUUUUAACUAUAGAUCACAGAUAAUGGUAAUUUCAAUUCUUGAAAAUUUGUUAUUUUAUGAAAAAUGAAACUAUGAGUUAAAAAUUUGAUGCUGAGAAUGAUUUCAGAUAUUUUAAGUGCAUGGCAGAAUAAGAUCUAUAGGUUUCAGUUUAACAAUCAUUUAUCAUGGUAUAGGAUAAAAAAAUUAUAAAGUUGUAAAGUGGUUCUGAAAUAAACAAAGACUAGUUAAAGUUUAAAAUAACAUUUCUUAUUAUUCAGUAAAUAUAAUAUCUAGUAUACAGUAAAUUCCUCCUACAUGCCCAGUAUUAUUAAGCAUUUCAAGAAAGCAUAAGAAAAAAGUUUUUCUUUUUACAGUGUUUAAUAUCUACCUGGAGACACAAGACUCAAGAAAAACUUAUGUAAUAAAACUGAUUGUAUAUGAUUACCAAAAAUGAAAAGUAUGUUUCAUAAGGGUUCAAAGAAGAGACCCAUAUGGCCUGCAAAGGUUGGCUAGGCACUAUUUUUCAAAUUCUUAAUUUGAUAAUCCUUAUUCUGCAAUUAUUUUUAAUAAAUGGAAGUUUACUAUUAAUAUGUAUUCUUUUGUCUUAACCUCGAAGUGCUCUAAGAGCACAUGCAGUUACUUCUAGAUAUAUAGUAGUAGAUAUCUGGCAUAUGUUUUUGUGUUUGUUCUAUUUGUUUUUACUUCUCCUAAGAGUGACUAGAACCAUGAAUGUGAAUCCCUCACAGAUGGAGAGAGACUCAUGUUACAAGGAAUCCUGAGUGUAAUUCCCUGACUCCCCGCAUUCCCACGCAUGCAUCAAAGCUCUCAGUCUAGGAGCUGAAAACUUAUGAUUGCCCAAAUUCACAAAAGUAUUUCCUAGAUUUUAGAAAGGCAGCUUAAUCAUGAAAAUGCAUAAUCACAGAGACCACUCUAAUGUAUGCUCUUGUUUUAGAAUCACUAAGUUCAAAGUUCUAUAUUAAUAUUCUUCUGUCAAAAUCAAAUAAAAAGAAACAAGAGUUACUUGCUUGGCAGUAACCCCCUUUCUGCCCAGCUAAGAUUAGAUGAUGGUAUAAAGGAGUCAUGAAAUGGUCAGAAGUCGUCCCCAUGAGGGGGAAAGGGAAAGGAGGAAUAGCAAAUGACCUAUAUAAUCUUUAGACAACAUGGCUUAGAAUGACCUUGAGAUGGCUAUUAGAUUUGUAUAUAGUUUCAGAGACACAGUGAUAAACAUUAGAAAUAAUAAUGUAUUCUGUAAUUUUCAGCAAUAAGUAGCCAAAGGAGUAGACUUUUUGGCUACCUUUAAGAAACUGCUCCAUAGUCUGAUAAGCAGCUUUGCCAGGACAUUUGUGCUUUGAAAUUUCUCAAUAUGGAGGUCAAAAUUUGAAACAAUGCAAUGAUCCAAGACUUCUUUCUCAGGAUAUUGUUUAAAACUUACUUAAUAUACAGUGCUAGGUCUGUAGCUAAAAUAGCUUGCUUGAUUAUUUUCAACGUGGUCUUAUAUUCUUCAAUGGAGAGGCCACUGAGAAUCUGAUUGCCCUUUAUAAAAAAGAAAACCAAGUUAGCACUCCAGGGAGAAGCUGCUGACAAGAACAAAAUCUGGAAAUAUAUUCACAUAUCUUAAACACAUGCCCAGUAUUCUAAACUCAUGAUGUGGAGGGCACACUUAAAUACCAUGAAAUAAUGUUUCCCUUCGAUGCUCCCAUCCCACCCCUGUGUCAUACAGAUAAACAGCUUCAUAGUGCUUUAUCUGCCUACAUAUGUAUGUUUUUCCAACUCAUAUACUCCUUAAGCCUUAGUCCAGACUUAAAAUCUAAUCGCUAUCUUUUUCCAUAGGGCAGACUAAUUGUUAAAAUCUAACAGCAAAUAAAAUUUUGAAAAAAUCAAAGCAUGUUAAUAGAUAUGAAUAAUGGAGUGGUAAAUUUUUUACACAAUUGAUUAUGAAAAAAGUCACUUCUCUAUGGAAUUUAAAAUAAAUCCAGUAACAUUUCUGGUACAAAUUUAUAUAAUUUUAACUUAGUUAUGAUAACAGUGCAUAUUCCUUAGGAACAUCUUAAUGUAGAUGGGUAAAGGGCAUGAACCGAAGGGCACUUACUGGUCAGUGGUAAAAGAAAGCAUGGGUUGAAACUUCUAUAAGGAAUAUUUAACAGGUAGCUAAUCCAUGUGCAAAUCAUUGGAAGUUUUUACUAUGUAACCAUUUUUUUAUUUCUUGUCUGUAAUUUAAAGUAUAGUGGUCCUCUAAUCUUGAACUAAGUAAAACACACAAACCAGACACUCAGAAUAUGAUCAAAACAACAUCUGUAAAUUGAGUCAGAUGUGCUUCCUGUAUCUUACUGCCAAGAAAAAACCCUGAUGCUUAGGAAUGAGAUCUGAAGGCAAAGGAUUUGUUAUGAAGACAGGGGAACUUCUGGAUAUGCUAGGCUAGGGCCAAAACACAUUGGUUAGAGGAUAACUAGAUGCUGAAAUUGUGGCAUGGAUCUAAUUAAUGACAAUAAUCUAUAAUUACAACCAUAAACAUUAUUUUUAAAACUAAAUUACUUUAGAUUCUAGGCUAAACAGAAAAUUAUUCAGAAAAUACCUUCUGAUACUUAUUUGAAGAUAAAAAAUUACAAGUGGAAUAUGAAAUGUCUUUUAGUGCUAUAUUCUUACAUUUUACUCCCAAAAGCUGAUGAUAUAAUGUCUGUGUCAUUAUGCUUACAAAGAUAGAAUAUAUAGAUAAGUCUUAAAAUUUGAGCCAGCCAUAUAUACAAUCAGAUUCCUUACAUGUUAAGUAAUAACAUAGUGUAUAAUAAGUUAUAUAGCAACAGAGGUCAGUUGAUAGGAAUACUGUUAAAUAUACUUUAAAAAAGCAUAUUUUCUUCCUCUGGAGCUAUAUUUGUAAUGUGAUAUUGAAAUGAAAGUUUCAGUGGGAACACAUAGCAAAUUCUAAGAAAAGUACAGAUGUUUCUACUAUAAUAUGACAUAAACAUUCCCAAGAAAUUUCAGUUCUGAAAAAAUUUCAGUUCUGAAAAACACUAAAAAUAACAGGGAUUAUGUGAAAAAGGGAUACUGGGAAAGACCACUCAAAACCUAUGCAACUUUGUAACCAGAGCACAAACCAAACCAAGAAUUGGUACCUCUGGAAGUAACUUGGACAGGCCAGUCUGGCAGGUCGGGAGGCUGCCUGUGAGGACAUUAAAGAUGGACAAAAACAAUCAAGUGGAAAUGCUGGUUUGUGGGGGCCCUACAACAAUGCAUAUAGAAUUGAUCACUCAGACAGUACGGCUGCUAUUAAGGUGGGCACUGAAGGAAGAGCAAGCUCCUGAGAGCCUACAAGAGUCUGAAGCAAGGGAGAGAGCCUCAGGUGCAAGUGCUCAUUUUUAAUAUUCCUAAGAUACAAUGGAAAGGGCUGUAUAUGCAGGAGCCAAGGGGAGGCCUUUUUUUCUUUCUUCCUGAAGGUCAGAAUUCAGCUUCUGUAUUCUGGCACCUCUCAUCUCAAAGAAGUUGUGUAUGAAAUAAUAGAAUAUCUAUAGUAUACUGAUACCAUUCAAAUACCUCCCUUCUACACAUGAACUAAUUCAUAUUAAACAAUCACAUGAGGGGCAUGGAGUUCCUGUGUAUGCCUCCUAUCAUUUGGGUGGAGGUGGGCCUAGAGUAGGCUUGUUUCUGAUUCCUGCCUCAAAAGUCUAAAAGGCAAGACUCAUAUUGGUGCCAGUCUGUUAAGAAUGUUUUGAUGUUUCUUACUAUCUCCCUUCCCAUUCUCCAACUAUGAAGGGGUAAGAAAUUACAUGGAGGUUGGGGAGAGAGGAGGAUCUAGAAGAAACACAAGGCAGGGACUGGGAGAAGCCGACCAGUGCAGCAACAGAAAACCUGCAACUUUAAAUCAUGUUCAAAAUUUGGACUGCUACCCAGGAGCAAACAUUUUGGUUUCUGAGUUGAGAACUCUACCCUAUAUAUUGGGACCUAAACUAACUAGAGGGCUUUUAAUUUAUAAAUGAGUGACCAGAAAAGUGAUGGCAAUCUCUGAAUUUUUUUCCAGGGCUCAGGAAAGAACUAGCCCCACUGAGUAAACUUAGAGAUAUUAUGGUAAAACAGCUUUAAGAGUAUAUGUCAUGCACUGUGUAUGUUCAAUGUAAAACUUUCAUUUUUUCUUAUUAUGAAGGCAAUACACAUAACAGAUAAUGUCAACAAUGAACACCCCCCCCAAAUAAAGAUUAAUAUUUUAUUAUACCAGCACAGCCAUUCUUAAUAUCCUGGUGUAUAUUAUUUUAACCUUGUUUUCCUUAAUGUAAGCAUGUUUGGCAUUGCAUAGCAUAUACUUUCUUAUGUUGAUAAAUAUUCACUUCACCAAGUUGUUAAAUAGCUUUAUUCUUUAAUAGUUUCUUAGCAACUAGAAAUUUGAACCAAAAGAGGAAAACGUAUUGUUUUGUGAAAGCAAAUGCUUGAGCUAUAGAAACCACUUCACUUGAUUAAACAAAAAAAGUAGAACUAUCUGAGAGCCACAAAAUACCCAUUUUGUUUGUUUCUAACUUGGAAUAGCCACACAGUAGAAUAACCAAAUUUCCCUUAUCGGGCAACAUAUAAACAGUUCUAGUUGUCUACAGAAGUGAGGCUGUGAGGAUCUCAAAUGUUUUGGCAUUGCCUUCCUUACCCAAAAAGGAAUAAAGUAUGUGCAAGAAUUUAUGAUGCUGGGAAUAAAUCCAAAACCUAAAAAUAAAACUGAAUUUAUAAAGCUCUCUUUUAAAAUUCCACAACAAUAAAUUCAGUACUUACUGGACUAUUGAGAAUCAUCAGGCACUGGUCAAAAUGAUGGUGCUCCAUGAUUGAAUGGCAGUAGAGCUGAGCAAGUGGAUGUUCACUUCUGAAAAUAUUUUGUUGAAAGAAAGAAAAAAAGAUCAAUUUCCUUAAUAUCCAGGUUUAUCAGUACAUUUUUAUUACUGGCUAAUGAAAAAAGAGGCUACCUCAUAAAGUUAAUCAAUUAACAAUUUUCUCUCCUUUUUUUGAGAAAAGGGUGAGGUAAUCUCUGGGAAACAAAUACAAGAGUUGAAUUGUUUUCAGUUAUCAAUGUAACUGUUGCCAGUGCAAAGUACAAACAAUUUCAUUGGUUUUAAUACUAAUUAAAAUAGAAGUAAGGAAUAAGGACAAAAAAUUAAUACCUCUAAACAUAGAAAAAAAACCCUUUGAAAUAGUCGUACUAACAAUAUUUUUCAAUUUCAAAACUGUAAUUGAUAUAAAAUCUGAAACAAAUUCACGUUAGGUUUUUCUCUGAAGUAAUGCUCAGGCUGAAGGUGAGCUUAUUCAUAUGUGUCUGCAGAUAAGAAAAGGACUUACUGAGAUGGAAUUAACUGAGGUAUGAAUGAUGCAAGGCAAGGAAAAGAGGGAUAGUCAGUCCACAUGCCCCCUAGGAAGGAAGGAAGGAGACAGCUGAGUUGGCAAGUUCCCCAUGUGGGAUCCAGGUCAUUUUAGUGCAGGAUAUCCUGCUAGUUCUCCUAACUGAACUUGGUGAAGAAGUAGAAACCCUUUGGCUGAGUGAAGAGAAAGGAAAGGAUAUUAUACUUAGUUCAUUAUAUCCGAGACAGUCACAAAUAAAACUCUAAAGCAUGACAAGCACAAUUCUCCACCUCAUGUUUCUCAUGACCCUUCAUAUGUGAUUAUUAAGUAUAGUUUUCACUAUUUCUUCUUCAUAAGAAAAAGAUGAAGUUUCCGAAAGCCUCUGAUCCUAAAAUUUAUAGGAAAGGGGUUUGUGAAUUGUAAAGCUCCAUACAAAAGUGCUGGAUAAAACAAUUAUGUUAUUUCUUCCUAUUACUAUCUGAAUCAUUAUUUUACUUUGCAUUUAAUUUGUUGAAGAUAGAGAAGCUACCAAAGACUGAAAAAAUGUAAUGUAGGGGGAAAAAUAGGCAAAGUAAGAGAAGCCUGAGGGAAAAUGAAAAUAGUAAAGUGAAAAUAAAGGUAAGAGGACAGGGAAUCUCAUCUAUUACUGUUUAAAGUAUCGUCUACACUGCUGAUUGAUCAAUAUUAUUGUUCUAACCUUCCCCAAAUUAAUUCCUGCCCUUCUUGUCUUCUUUGCUCCUUCCAUAUUUAGUGAGUUGGACUGUGGACCAGGUACUAUGCUGAAAUAAUGCUUGACAUUGAAUGGAUGGCAGUGAACAGAGUAACACAAGUAGAUUUCUGAAAAAGGAUGAACGUAAUGGAAACAGGAUUGCUUGUGUAUCGAGACUACUGGGAGUUAGGAGACUACUGGGAAACUUCUAGUAACCUAAGUAAGAGAGAGCCCAGAUGAGAGUGGUAGCAACCCAAAGGAAGAGAAGCAGAUAUCUGAGAGCUGGUUAAGAGUACAUCAGAUAGGAACUGGUAACGAAUCUGACUAGGAGUGGGAUGAAAGAGAUGAAGGGAUGAGGGCAAUAAAGGGAAAAAGUAUAAAUGUUAAAGUUUCUACCUUGGGAUGCUGACCUCAUUUACUGAGAUAGGAAAAGGGAGAAGAUGAUUAAAGAUGGGGGAUGAAGCAGGGGAAGCUGACGAGCUGAAUGUUGGAUCUGUUCAUUUUCAGGUGCCUGAAAUAGACCCAAGUGGAUAUAAAUGUCUGAACUCAGUUCUGGACUAGAGAUACAGAUUUGGGAUGUACCAACAUGCAGAUGGUAAUCCAGCAUGCCUGCACUACUCCCCACUGCCUUCCUUCCUGCCUCUCCAGCUGAUCCCUACACCUCCUUCACAAUGAGUUCCAAGAGGCCUCCCACUUACAGGUGAGGCAGACAUUUUUCUACCCCCUUAACAUGAUCAGUUUGUGUAUCAUGGCAAAUUUUAUUUCUAUUUCUCUUUCUAGACUGUCAGUAUCUUGGGCUUAGAGAUUUUAUUUUUUUUUUUUCAGCUCUACUUCUUCAGCUGGCAAAACGCCUAGCAUAUAGUAGGAACUAAAAAAAUGUUUUCCAAAUUAAUGACGGAAUGUAGAAUUGCAGCUCUGACUGUAACUACUUUCCCAUGAAGACUAUAAUAGACUAUUACCCUUUAUUUUUCCUGGAGCUCAAAAGGAUUUCACAGAAUCUGGAAGAUGGUUGCACAUUAAGCCCCUUUACCUCCACCGAUGUUCACUUUAUUUACUUUUCAUGCUAUAAAUGAUCUAAACUCCUUUUUGCUCUUUUUGUUUAUCUACUUUAAACAGUAAACACAUCUACAUGCCUAUCUAUUUGCAUUAGUGCUGCAGAAGUUAGGUUUUUUUUUUGUAAUCAAUUAUUCCAUAGUCAAGGAAACUUUAAACAUGACAUAAUGAGUUUGGACACUGCUAGUAAAAGCCAUGUACUAAAUGGCAAUCGGCGUUCAUUAUCUUAAAUGUAUGUAGCCUGUGUAUGGCAAAAAACAAGAACAACACAAUAAAAACAAACAAACAAACAAAAAAACCAGGGGUUAUAUCCUUCAACCUUUGUGAAUCUCCAAAUUAUAAAUAUGGAACUGUUUAUAUAGACUUCUACCUCCUAAAUCACAUUUCCUUGAGAGUCACAUUUCAUGCCCUUAUCCUCACACCACAAUGAAUUGCCUUUCAGAUUUACAAAAGUUUUCUCUUACUUGAUAGCCUUUUUCAUAAACAAGAUUUAAAAAAUUAUUUCAUAAGCAUUACCACAUGUAUGGCAAGAAAAGUACAACACAGAGGGGUUGAGAUGUGAAUACCAGGUAGUCUGCAAGGCUUAUGACCUAGCUAAGUAGCUCUCCUGUACAGCAGUUCAAAUCUAUGCCUUAGUCAAAAUUCACUGAAUGAAUAUAUGAGUUAUAUAUGAGAGUUAUGAAAUUAUACCUGUGGAAUUGCUCACAAGUCCUUUAAAUGUAAUGUUAUGUGUAUAAGUACCGAGGUUCUGCUAUAACAAAUACAGCUCAGAACAGAACAGCUAAAGUAUAUCCAUCUAUUGAUCCACAUUAUAGAUAUAGAUAUAUGGACACAGAGUUAAGCUCUGGGGAAAACAACAACAACAAAAAGCGGGUACUGAAGACAAAUCAUCCAUUAAGGCAUAUAAAUUAAUUUUCUUUUGAAAGUGAGGCCAUGUUUAUAUAGCAUUCCUGAUAAUCCCAUUGAUCUCUUAAUACUCUUCAGAAAAUGUAAUUAUCUCAAACAAAAAUACCCAUGUUAAAAAAAAGUUCUUAAGAAAAAGAGGGCUCAUAACAAAUGGAUUUCCCUGUUUAAGAACAUCAAAACCUGGGCACAUUACAGACAGUUUUCACAGUUUCUUCCUUAACGAUCUGAAACAAGUAAGGAGUACAAUAAUGAAACUUAAAACAGGAAGUCUGAGAUGCCACAUUACUAAGAAACUAUUCCAAAUCAGAAUCACUUAUAUUUGAAAAUGAAAUUAUUAUUGCAAAACCAAAAAUAAAAGAGAGCCAUCUAGCAAAAUCCCAUUAAUAAGUAAAAUCAUAAAAUAAAACCUCAUUAAAAAACAUAUUAGGGGAAAACCAAGAAGCAGUAAAGUUAGACAGUAAAAUAUCAGAGUUACCUAACAUUAUAGAGUUCAUAAAGUACUCAAAAUGUCGUCAUGAUAGUAGGUCAGAGAGCUAAUUAGCAUUGAAGGCACCCGCUGGAAAUUAUGCUGACGGGAUUAGAUGGCUUCUAAAAUUAAACAGUUAUAUUUCCUUUUCCAUAAUUCCAGGGAUCAGAUGUUGUUACCAGUCAGUCUUCCUCCUGGCUCUUUGGCAGAACAGGGGGUUGAUGCUUACACUCUGUUUGCAGUCUUAUGUCCUCUCUACCACACACAACAUGAACCCCAAAAUUAGCAUCCUGCCUUAUUAAAAUGUAAAUCAUACCUUUAUCACCUGUUUUGCAAAUAGUUUUGUUUCUGGACUUUUCAUUUGUCAGUCAUCUUAAUUUGAAGAAGUUUUUGCUGUAUAAAAGAUUUAAUUUUUUAAGGAGCCAAAAUAAUUAUCCUUACAAUACUCAACUAUAGCGCCUCGCUUUUAAAAGAGGCUUCCUCAUUUUAAUAUUAUAGGUAAACCUAUAUUUCCCCUAGUAUUUUAUAGAUGUAUUAUAUUACAUUUAAUCUUAUAAUCAAACUUAAUUUUUCUCCCAACUGCUCUUGGAGUCUUGUAACAUCAGAACAGUUAUUCUUUCUCUGAUGAUCUGAAUUGUCACAGUAUACUGUAUUCAUAUUUGUUUUAACUAUGACAUACUUUUCCCACAUUUUAAUAUUUUUGAAAUCAGUAUGCAUGGUAUAAUCAAUAUCUUGUCAUAGUAAAUUGAAACAAUAUUUUACUUUAUUGGAGACAUGUAAAAUGGUGUCUUUCAUUCAAAAGGCAUCUUACUUAAAAAUAAUGAAAUAUACCCUAUUCUGUUAUAAACAAUAACACAUUUUAUAUGCCAUAUUAUGGGUCUGCAUUUAGACUUUCUGUUUUGUUUCACCAAUCUUGACAUGUCUUUUAGCCCCUAUAUCAUACUUUUAAUUAUUUUACUUUUGUAUCAUUUUAAUUUCUGAAAGGGCAAUUCUGCAACCAUCAGCUAUGAUUCUUUUUACAUCUCCAGUUGUAAGUAUUAUCAAUGUUUGUAAAUGGUGAUCAGGAACAACCCCCAUCCCACCCAGAUCUCACAAGGAUACAUAUUAAAACUGAUACAAUCUGGGGAGAGUUGAUAUCUCAUACACUAGAUUUCAAUCGUUCCAGAAAUGUAUUCACUUCUUAAUGAUUUUUAAGUCACUCAGAAUUUUGUAGUUUUCCUCAUAUAAAUGGUAUAUAUUUCUGGCUAAGUUUAUUUCUUGUUACCACAGUAAAUGAGAUUUCUUUUCCCUAUUGUUUUCUAACAAAUUUGUCUUAGCAUAUAUUAACAUUAUUUCUCAUUAAUAAUUUGAUAAUGAGGCCCCUUUAAAAACUCUUAUAAAAUAGGUACUUUCAGCUAAUUCUUUUUGGGUUUUCUAUUUGACAAUAAUAUAAUUUGUAAGAUAUUUGGCCUCUUUUUUUCUGUGGCUCACCUUAUUUCAACCUUGCCUCCCUUCUGAUUGCUUUGGUUAGAAUUUCGUUGAGGAAUAUAUAUAUUUUUUGACAAAUUCUUUUUCAGUUGCUUCCAUGAAAAAUUCUAAAAUCCUCUUGAGCUAGUAUUGCUUACCACCAAUUUUUACAGAAAUUCUCCAUUUUGCCAAAUGUUAAUUUCUAUUUGCUCACUGUAAUAUCAAGUAUCUUUUAACAUGUUUUCACUAUCUGUAGUUACAGUCCCUCUCUCAUUCCUAUUUGCAUUUCUCUCUUAAUAUCCUCAUUAUCUGUUGGAGAUUUGUCUAUUAUUAUUGUCCAUUAUCUCUUGUUUUACUAUUUCUUCCCAUUUCGUAAGUCUAUUUUUUUCAAAUUUUUUCUUCUACUUUCUUUCUUCUUAUGUAUACAUUUAUUUGGGGAAGGCAGCAAAAUGAGAAGAUAAGGGUGCUGCUUUUCUAAUUUCUAUGGUUGAAUACUUAAGUUUUUUUUCAUUAUUUCUUAAUAAUAAUAAAAUAUUUAAAGCUACAUAAUUCCCUCUGAAUAUAGCUUUGACCAUGUAUAUUGAGUUUUUAUGUUAAUAGAAUACUUAAUUUUCUAAAAUGCUGUAAUUUAAUUAUCACUUUUGAUUUCUUCUUUGUCAGUUAGGAGAAUGCUUUCCAGGUUCUCAGUGAGUUUUUUCUUUCCAACCUAUCCUUUUAUUAUAUAUUAAUAGUUUUAAUGCACUGUGAUCUAUGAAAGUGGCCAAAAAUUCUGCUUUUCAGAAAUGACUUUGUGCUGCGUAUCAUUAAUAUUUGUUGAUUUCUGAUGGAUAUUUGAGGAUAAUUUAUAUUUUUAAAUUCUGAAACAUAAAAGUAAAGCUAUAUGUAUGUGAAUUAGAUCAAUUUAAUUUUUAUCAACUCUAAUGCUUUCUUAUUUUUCCCUAUAAUUUAACACUGGCAAGUAUACUUCAGGCCCAGUAUGAUUAUCAUUUUGUCCACCUCUCCGUGUAUUUUUAACAGUUUUAGUUUUUGUAUGUCAAUGAUGCUAUUUAGUUUAUUAGCAUUUACGGCAAUUACAUUUUUCUCUGUGGGCUUUAAUAUUACUCAAUGAAAGGCAAUUCUUUACAUUACCUUUUACCAUAAAUUCUACUUUGUUUGAUAGAAAUAUUGUUAUCCCUAUUCAAUUUUUGCCCAUGUUGUGUAAAAUGUGUCUUUACAAAUGACAUAUACUUCACGAGUUCCAGGAAUUCCUUAGUGUUUCUGACCCCCUAAAGACUACUUCUCUGUUUUCUAGUGCUACUAUGAAGUUUUCCUUAUUUUUCUGUUUCUUCAGUCAAUUAUUGAAGCUGUGAUCUUUACAUUUAUUUUUAUUAUAUAGAUCUUCAUUUCUAUAAUUCUAAGCUUUAAUAUCUUAAUUCCAUUUUUUUCUAAUUUUCUUCCACCUGUUACUGCCUCUACACCCUACAGUCUUAUUUACUUGUGCUUAUCAUAACUAGGCAUAAUUUACAAUUCUCUAACUCAGAAAAAAACCUAGAUACUUUAAGUAAUACAAGAAAUGUAUACCAUGGAAGACAAUGCACCAUUUAAUUAUAAACAGAUGAUCAGUUAGCGAUAUCGCCAAGGGAUAAAAUUAAAUAUGAGAAGUAAAAUGAAGUAGAAGUCAAAUUUAAGCUGAUAUAACACUAGGAUACUUAUUUAUGGCUUGAAAUUCUACUUCAAUGCACAGAAAAGCAGCUUAUCUCUAUGCACCUAUUUAAAGGUCCACUCCCGAGUAAUUUAUUAAAUAAAGCCAAAAUAAAUUAACAGAGUAAGAUAAGAUGGUGUGGGAGUGACAGUCAAUGAUUCAAAAACUUAUUGAGGCCUACUCAAAAAAUUCUGUAAGCUUGCAGGUCUCCCAAAUGUACCGACACAAAGGAACUAAAAUGAGGUGUCAUUUGGAGAAUCAGAAUGAUGUACGUAUUUAGCCAGUUCAAAUACGCUACAAGAACAAGUUUGAAAGUGUAAGAGACUUAGAAAAUUCACUGUGGAAAUAAAAAACAGAAACUUCUUACAGUGUAGAUGCGAAAGGAUUAAGAUAGUAACCAGUUCACAAAUACAUACUUCUCGUAUUUCUCUGUCAAACGUGGUGGAGCACUGUAAUUUUUAUUUUUUAUGCUUUUCUUUACUAAAAAUGAGAUGAAAAAGUAAGCUAUUUAAAGUGAAGAUGUUUUAAGCAUCCUUUUUUUUAUUUUUCAAUGGGAAUAGGACUAAUUUCUUCAAACUUUAUUCUGAAAUUCGUAUGGAAAAUAUAGGCAUAAAAAUGUCUGGUAAAUAUGACAUUGGAAAAAGGCAUAUUUAGCAUGAUAAGUAGGAAAAAUAAUUAGUUAAAAUAAAUGAAUAAUAAAUGAUAAAUGAAUAAUUAUAUAAAUGAAUAAAUGAUAACAAACGAUAAAUGAAUAGUAAAUGAUAAAUAAAUAAUAAAUGAAUAAUAAAUAAAAUAAAUGAGAAAUAUAUUUCCUUAACAGUAUUGGAAGCAAAGUGGUAGAAACAUUGUGUAUUAGUUAGGGCACUGAGAAAACAUUUGAUAGGAAACAAUACCUCAGGGAAUAAAUGUGAUGGGACAGCAGGCCCCAUACUGAUCUAAUGUCUAUAAUUUCAACUAAAUGUCAGUAAUGGAAAAAAUGAGAGGGAAGGAAGAAGAUAACAGAAAACACAUGCGUCUGUCUGUCUUUCUGCACUAACUCUAUAGGGAUUCUCUAUUAGAAUUACAUAAUAGUGGAAUCUGGUCUAUGACAUGUAAGACAAAUUAUCCAUAAUCAUGACAUUUUCCAUGCUGCAGCUGUAGGUACCUUAGUCCAGAAAUCAAAUUCUUAGUUUUGUCACAUUUGUAAAACAGCAGGGAACACUGGAAAAUUUCCCUCUCAUAUUUGGGAUCUACUUGAGAACCUCUCCUCACCUUGCACAAAACCCUACUAGAGAAAUCAUUUCCUUUUCCUUUCUUUUCAUUUACCAGGAUUUUUCUCUCCAAAAUCAACAUUUGCCUACUUUUGGCUCUGUUCAAGUAGGGUGACACAAAAUACAUGCUAAGAAAAGUCUGAUUAUUUCAUUUUUUAUAUUUUGCUUACUUGUCUGACACAGUGACAGGAUCACAGAAUGUGAAUUUUGAACAAAUCUGAAAGGUUAUUAAGUUCAACUCUACAGAGGUAAGUAAUGUACCCAUAAACGUGCAUGAAGAUGAGUGGCGUUAACACAAUGCUGUGAGUGUGACUCCUGGGCACUGCGCUUUCCAUGUCACCUAACUCGCUUUCAUUUACCAUACACAUAAAGUGACAAAAGGGCCUGAUGCAUAACUUCCUCCAGCCACUCCCCAUUCCCAGUUAUUAUUUUAAAGAAAUGCUGCUAAAAACGUGAAGAUGUGACUUGAUGCUGCAAGCUGCCACUCUGCCUUCCUUCCUAUGACAAUUUACUAGCAAACAAUGCAUUCCAUCUGGAAUUUAAUUUCACACUUACAAAGGCUGAAGACAGCUUGUAGUAAAUCUUUAUACUAAUAAAAAAGCACUUUAAAAAGCAUAACACUUAUAGUUUUCCCCUUGACCUCCCUAGGAAAUAAAAUUUUAUAACAUUUACAUGGUAUCAUAUUGUAAGGCACCCUCAGCAGUUUUCUUUUAUUGCCUAUGUUAGAGAUCUGAUCAGUGAGAAUCUUUUAAAAAGAUCUCACAGAUUCAUUAGCCUCCACUUUUUUCUCCGAACUGUAGAAGAGUUGACUCAACAGCCCAGCAGGGGGUUGGCAUGCUGGCUUCUAAGAGGCUGUAAUGCACAAUUCACUAGCCUUAGGAGCUGACCCUCAGCCUCCUAGCUUAGACACUAGAUUACCAUACGAAGACUGCUGGGGUGGAGUCACAGUAACUAAGUUGACAAGACUGAUUUUUAAAACCAGAAUGGUAUCAAUGUUCAAAAAGAAACAGACCCAUCCCAGAAACAGAAGUACAAGCACCUGCAGCUCUAGUCCUCUACCUCAAGUCCAGUUCAUACAAUAAGAAACAACUGUCAGGGCAACCAGUAUAUUUUAAGAUGACAUGAAUAACGCAUUCUCUUCCCAUGAACUAACCUACACUGGAAAAGAAAGUAAUCCGUACAAGUUGGGUGGGUGGGACUGGAAUCAGAACAAGGGAAAUCAGACUCAUAGAAUGUUUAAUUGUACUAAGCUGAUGUAUCCCUCUCACAAUAAGAAUGCAAUCUAUGCAGAGGGACUGGGAAUUGGUAGGAUAUUAUUGGCUAUAACCUGCUGUAUCCACUGCACCUAAGCAAAGACUCACCAUAUGGUCAGAAUACUCAAUGCACACUGAUACAACUCUCUACAUACAUCUCUGUGUUAGGGACAAAUGUCACUUUACUCUUGCACCGAACUUGGAUAGGCACUUUUAACAUCUGUCUUUUCUUUCUCUAUUUUCAUUAUUGAUACCUUCUGCUCCCUCUUUCUGACAAAAACUCUCAUUCAAUAAAAUUAUAGUCAAAUCUUGCAACUAGAAAAGUUUUUAGACUUUUAAUAUUGUAUUUAUAUAUGUAAGUGUUGCUCCAUUAGGGUUUUAAUUCUAAAUGUAACCUUUAAAAAGUUAAUAUUUUCUUUAUUUUCAGGUUCUUAGGAGAAUGUUAACAGUUCAGAUCUUUUUCGCUAAAUCAACCAUGGAUGACUGGCUUAUAAAAUCCUACUUAACCUUUAUAUAACCGCAGUACCAGGAAACAAAUAUGUCAUUAAAAGGAGACAUCAUUCAAUU